rnacentral:rRNA from 1 species
GACGAACGCUGGCGGCGUGCCUAAUACAUGCAAGUCGAACGCUUCUUUCCUCCCGACUGCUUGCACUCAAUUGGAAAGAGGAGUGGCGGACGGGUGGGUAACACGUGGGUAACCUACCCAUCAGAGGGGGAUAACACUUGGAAACAGGUGCUAAUACCGCAUAACAGUUUAUGCCGCAUGGCAUAAGAGUGAAAGGCGCUUUCGGGUGUCGUUGAUGGAUGGACCCGCGGUGCAUUAGCUAGUUGGUGAGGUAACGGCUCACCAAGGCCACGAUGCAUAGCCGACCUGAGAGGGUGAUCGGCCACACUGGGACUGAGACACGGCCCAGACUCCUACGGGAGGCAGCAGUAGGGAAUCUUCGGCAAUGGACGAAAGUCUGACCGAGCAACGCCGCGUGAGUGAAGAAGGUUUUCGGAUCGUAAAACUCUGUUGUUAGAGAAGAACAAGGACGUUAGUAACUGAACGUCCCCUGACGGUAUCUAACCAGAAAGCCACGGCUAACUACGUG